UGAAUAAGAAGAAGAAUGUAUUUCUUUUUUUAUUAUCCUCCUCAACCCCUCCUUUUUAAAAAAUAAUACAGCUGUUUGUGUUUAUUUACUACCUCAUUCCUAUUUUCUACGACUGCAGGUCUUGCAUCUUAUUUUGUCUUUCUGGGUAGAAUUUAUAUGAUCCUGUCAUUUCACUUCACUGUUUUUCUUGACGGUGAUUGGGGAAUGAGCUGAUAUACAGCUAGAGGCAUAUCAUUAUGAAAAUAGGACAAAUUAAUGGUGAUUAACUAAGAUCAUGUGGUUGAAAAUUAUAUUUGAUGGGAGAUGAAAGAAGAGACAGACUGAUUUGGAGAAAAGGCGGAACAAGUAGAUUGAAGCCUCUGUGUUGUCAACUGGUAAUUUAGAAGAAACAACAAGGGACAAUGACAGGCUGAAGAGUAAUAAUUAGAACAGAGUGACACAGAAAGAAGAAAGCCAAGACCAAUUCACAUGUGGGAUGUUUGAUGCAACUGAGAAGAGAAAACUAAGGUGUGGACAAUGAACCCAAGGACAUCUGCGUGAUGUAUAGGCCCAUUUUUAACAUGUGACCAGUUUAAAAUAAAAGUUAAGAAUGUAUUUCUUGUAAUUUCUUU
rnacentral:lncRNA from 1 species